GGAGGAGCGGCGGCGAGCAGAAACUACCGCCGAGGGACAUCGGCGGGGUCUCAGGUAAGUGACCUGAAGGUGUUUUUCACCCCUUCAGCUACCAGGGGAUGGGUGGUGGGAGGGAGAGGGGACCUGCAGUGCCAGGAAAACAGGCUGUUUUCCUGGCACUGGAGAGUCCCUUUAACACAAAUUAUGGGAUAUUUUAAAAUGAAGCUUUAAAUGGACUUUUAAAUGGUCACAUCUGUU